UGUAAGUACACUAUGCUGCUGGAUGAUGGACCAAAACAAAUUCAAAUAUGUAAAAGAAAGCUCCUUUUGAAUUUUUGUCUUUGAAAGUAUCAAAAUCAGUAAAAAAAUUCUUGAUAUUGGCUGCAGAUUUGAUCAUUAUAAUGAUGCUAGAAAGGAAACCACCUUGAUAAAAAAUGGUCCAAUCACAACGAAUUAUAUGGUCAGUGGUGCUGAUAGUUGCAAGUAUUUUGGUAUGGAUGUUUUUCCAUUUUUGCAAAAGAAUUAUUGUACCUUGGUACCAGAGGAAUAGACUAGCUGAGAUCGUGGCACGUAAUGAUCGUAGAGCAAGCCGGGAAAACAUGCGUAAUUUUCUUGCAUCACAUAGAACUUCAGGAUUGGCAGCAUCAAAUUUAACAAUGAACGUGUCAGAGGCAACAUGGGUGUCAAGUGAGGAUGAUCAAGAAGGUGAAAACGUUGAGCCACCACCAGCAUAUUCUGAUGUGGUAUGUCAAGAUAAUGAGUUGUUGGUUGACCCACCAACAUAUGAAGAAGCCACACAUUCUAGGGAAACUGUGCACAAUGCUUAACUGUUAAACCCUGUAUGGUCCAACUUUCUAGGGUUCGGUUUUCUAUCUUUAAAGAAUAUCCAACAAUGUUUUUGAUCCUGGCAAGUGCUAUAUAGUGUAAACUGUAUACAGAUUCUGAACCUCAGAGCAUGGGUCAAAACAAUUUGCAGAAGGAGUGAUUUGGUACUCUUGCAAAAGUGAAGCUGCAAAAGUGAAGAUGCAGAAAUACUUUUUUCAAUUUAUCAAAGGAAUCUGCUAGGCCAUUGAAGGCUAGAUACCCUCUCACUUUGAGUAAAGAGAAUUUUACUUUGAAAGUCCUGAUUCAUAGAACUUUGCUGCAUAUUGAUUCUAAACAAUUUAUGAAUUUUGUAAGAUGGAAAUAGGGUGAAAUAUGGACGGCUAACCCUGUGGAUGAAUAAAAGCAAUACUCUUUGAUUAUAGAUUGAAAACUUCUCAAGAUAGCCACUCAAAGAGUGUUUAUUAAUGACAAAAACAGUUCCCAAUGAGAACUGAACUAUUGAAAUUAUAAACAUUGAAUUCUGCAAAAUCUGGACUUUAAGAAUGCUCUUUUGCCAUAACAAUUUCCUUUUCAAAAUAUUCUGCCUUUUACUCUGUAGCCUAAUCAUUUCAGUUCAUAGUUCAGGCAAUUUUUUGCUGCAAAAUUUUCUGUUGUAUCAGAGAAUCUCAAUAUCUUAGGAAUAGAAACAAGAUACCUCUAGGGAUGAUGACUUGAACUUUAUAGUGGGGCAUAAAGUAUAGAAAGUCAGCCCAACUUUUGAUGAAGCCCCUCAACAAGAAAUGCGCCAUUCUAUAGGGUGUUUUUUCCUGGCACAAGCCUCUUGAUUCAGUCACCUUUGAGGUUGAGAAAAGCAGGCAGACUAAACCAAGUAAAAAAGGCUUGACUGGUGGUCCACUUCUUUCUUCUUGAUGUCUUUUGGAGAAAGUGGGGGGCUAUAGCCCCCAUUCCCCCUUCUCUGUGGUGCUUGUGAUUGACUUCAGAAUUUUAAGAUGAAAUGAAUCAACAAUGUAGAAAACCUUUUUAAGGAAUGCGUUUAAAGACGAUAUUGGUUAGCACCAACUAUCAGUCAUCCAGAUCUUCCUAGCUGAAUCUUCUGGCCCCAGCCCACAAAACUUUUUUUAUGCCUGGCCUCUUUCAAAUUAUCCUUUUUCCCAAUUAAAAGCUAGUAGGUAUUGAAUGAAACCCCCAACUUUGUGAUUUUAAUUUAUUUUGUACAGAUAGAAUCUAACAAUUUUAUCACUUAAUUUAUAUUUUCAGAUAAUAAAUUGUAAAUUAAAUUGUAAUUUUUAUAGCUUUAUCUAUUUAUUUUACUAUAGUAAUUUCCAAUUGAUUAGCAUCAAAUUAAUGAUUCUGUGGAA